CGCUGGCGGCGUGCCUAAUACAUGCAAGUCGUACGCUUCUUUUUCCACCGGAGCUUGCUCCACCGGAAAAAGAAGAGUGGCGAACGGGUGAGUAACACGUGGGUAACCUGCCCAUCAGAAGGGGAUAACACUUGGAAACAGGUGCUAAUACCGUAUAACAAUCGAAACCGCAUGGUUUUGAUUUGAAAGGCGCUUUCGGGUGUCGCUGAUGGAUGGACCCGCGGUGCAUUAGCUAGUUGGUGAGGUAACGGCUCACCAAGGCCACGAUGCAUAGCCGACCUGAGAGGGUGAUCGGCCACAUUGGGACUGAGACACGGCCCAAACUCCUACGGGAGGCAGCAGUAGGGAAUCUUCGGCAAUGGACGAAAGUCUGACCGAGCAACGCCGCGUGAGUGAAGAAGGUUUUCGGAUCGUAAAACUCUGUUGUUAGAGAAGAACAAGGAUGAGAGUAACUGUUCAUCCCUUGACGGUAUCUAACCAGAAAGCCACGGCUAACUACGUGCCAGCAGCCGCGGUAAUACGUAGGUGGCAAGCGUUGUCCGGAUUUAUUGGGCGUAAAGCGAGCGCAGGCGGUUUCUUAAGUCUGAUGUGAAAGCCCCCGGCUCAACCGGGGAGGGUCAUUGGAAACUGGGAGACUUGAGUGCAGAAGAGGAGAGUGGAAUUCCAUGUGUAGCGGUGAAAUGCGUAGAUAUAUGGAGGAACACCAGUGGCGAAGGCGGCUCUCUGGUCUGUAACUGACGCUGAGGCUCGAAAGCGUGGGGAGCAAACAGGAUUAGAUACCCUGGUAGUCCACGCCGUAAACGAUGAGUGCUAAGUGUUGGAGGGUUUCCGCCCUUCAGUGCUGCAGCUAACGCAUUAAGCACUCCGCCUGGGGAGUACGACCGCAAGGUUGAAACUCAAAGGAAUUGACGGGGGCCCGCACAAGCGGUGGAGCAUGUGGUUUAAUUCGAAGCAACGCGAAGAACCUUACCAGGUCUUGACAUCCUUUGACCACUCUAGAGAUAGAGCUUCCCCUUCGGGGGCAAAGUGACAGGUGGUGCAUGGUUGUCGUCAGCUCGUGUCGUGAGAUGUUGGGUUAAGUCCCGCAACGAGCGCAACCCUUAUUGUUAGUUGCCAUCAUUCAGUUGGGCACUCUAGCAAGACUGCCGGUGACAAACCGGAGGAAGGUGGGGAUGACGUCAAAUCAUCAUGCCCCUUAUGACCUGGGCUACACACGUGCUACAAUGGGAAGUACAACGAGUCGCGAAGUCGCGAGGCUAAGCUAAUCUCUUAAAGCUUCUCUCAGUUCGGAUUGUAGGCUGCAACUCGCCUACAUGAAGCCGGAAUCGCUAGUAAUCGCGGAUCAGCACGCCGCGGUGAAUACGUUCCCGGGCCUUGUACACACCGCCCGUCACACCACGAGAGUUUGUAACACCCGAAGUCGGUGAGGUAACCUUUUGGAGCCAGCCGCCUAAGGUGGGAUAGAUGAUUGGGGUGAAGU
rnacentral:rRNA from 1 species